GCACCCGGAAGGCCACAGGCAGCCAGUGCAGUCUGCGCAGGAGAGGUGUUACGUGGGAGCCACGAGGGGCUCCCUCUAUCACCCGCGCAGCCGCAUUUUGAACUACCUGGAGUCUCUGGGUGCUCCUCAAGGGGAGCCCCAUGUAGAGAGCAUUGCAGUAAUCCAGACGAGAUGUCACGAGAGCAUGAGUGACCGUGCAUAGGGUCAUUUUUGACCGUGAGUGACCGUGCAUUUUUCCUCCUGGUCCUUAGGACUUGGCUUAGCCACAUAAGCAAGCCUUUGGAGAUCAAUCCUUACUGUUCCUGAAGUGUCAGAUAGUCCUCGUCUCUCCAUCCAAAAAUUCUUGCAUUCAUUGGAUAUGCUGCCUCAGCGUGGCUACACCUUUUGUAAAUACAGUCGCAUAGCAAAGUCGCUGCCAAGUUCCUGGCUAGGUUUCAAGCUCUGUUCUAAGAAAUGUUGUUGUUGAGCAUCCAAGUUGAGCUCCAGGCAGAGAUCAAGCAGGGUUGACUGCUUUCCAUGGCCCUGGUCUUCCUGGCAGUUGGAUAGCAGCCCUGUUUAUAACCUGUAGCUGUUGCCCAGAUGUCACUUCCCAUUUCCUCAUCUAUGUGAUGCAUCUUCCUCUUCUUCCGCUCGUCACAUACUCUCUGGGUAGAUUCCCCUUUUCUGGGCUGAGGGCCCGAGUGGAGUAAGGUAGGCUAACUUGGCUACCUAUGGACAUCAGCAGGUCUUUGAAAAGGUCAGAGUGUCACUCAAUCAGCCAGCUAUGGAGGCUGUUGUGCCAGUCAAACAGCUUGGUGUGGCCAACGGACUAGCUGAAAUACCACUGUGGGAGUUCGUAGGGGAAAAUCUCUGCUGGUCAGUCUGCCUCACUAAGCAGGCUGGUGGGGAGGUUUGGAUUAAGUGCUUCUCCCCCGGGUUUCCUGGUAGAGCCAGACCCUCAUAACUCUUUUGAUAUGGGCAGGAGGGAUGAGUUGAAUCUAGCCUUGGAAUGUGUUUCUACCUGCCAGGAUUACUCCCAUCAGUAUUUUCCAAGGUGCAGCUACACUCCUUUUUUCCUCAUAGCAUAUCUCAGAGAGAGGAACACUCACAUCUGAGGUCAUCCAGAUCUCGGAUGAGAGGAGCCUUACUCUGAGACCUCUUGGCGUUUAAUAGCCGGGGAUACUUGGUGGAAGAUAAGGUAAGGUAAGAUAAGGUAAGGUGAAAUUAGUCCCUUGCAAACAGCUCAUCUUGAAACAAAACUGCUGGUUUCCCCUCAAAGCUCAUGAAAGGUAGGAACUAUGGGAAAUGGUGCAGGUGGUGGUGGUGAUAAAAGGGAAGCUAAAUGGAAGAAGGAAAAUACUUGUGUAAGAUUGAAAUUAACAGGUGGAGUGAUAGUUUGUCUAAUGCAGAGUACAUAAAAGGAACUAAAAACAGGACUUUCAGAUCUCUUGCUCAAACCUGACACUUAUGAGAAAAUACCACCAAGCUGCUCACACCAUAGAAUUUUCCGGUUCUGUGUUUUUCAAAACAACUUUUGGUAUCUGAUAGUAUAAGGAAGGAGGUAGGAGAAAACCGUCCAAAAAAGGCAAUCUCUCUUCCUCGUGCUUCUUUUUGUCAAUAUAUUGUACGUAAGUACCAAACUAUUCUUUCUCCUUGCAAUGCACAGAAAAGAAGAAACUGUGACCAACUGGCUCGGGAUCUUCUAUUGCUAGGACCCCAAACUAUAUGGAUAAGGUUACCAAUGUGACUGUAAAUAUCUCCCCCUUGGUGUUUCCCAAGCUGAAUGUACAAAAAUAAAUGAAAUGGGGAAUUGUCAUCUAGUGACAAUUUAAAGACCAAAGUGAAGUCCAAGAACGGUUCUUCACAUCAAACAGCUUUUAUACUCUUUCCUUUUAUAAGUAAACUUCUAUGGCUCCCUCUUCCUACCAUAACCUGAGUUGCUCCCAAAAUAAUGAAAAAACAUAAAACCAAAACAACUUCCAGUGCCCUAAAGGUAAUAGGCUACCACAAAACUAGCAUUCCACUUUAUAAGCCCCAGAUUCACUCUAGCCCAGCACUUAGGCUUCAUACUGGGUUAACAACCAACACUUAAAAGAUGCUGACUGCAAUCCAAGUUCUUCUUUUCCUCAAGUUCUCCAAGGAAGAAUUGGAUUUGGCAGAGAAACACCUCCCAAACAGCCAAAAAAUAAAGAAAGUCAUAUUUUCACUAUGCUUCAAGAUCUCAUGAUUUCCAACUUUCUUACAACAUAGAGCCAAAUAUCAAAAUAACUUCACUCAUCUGACCAAGAGCUCACUGCUUGUACAGCCUUGUGCAACAUAAUUCUCAUACAGAAUUCUGCCCAUAUUAUUUUACAGAACUUUUGCAAUGGACAACUCUUGAUUGUUUCACCAGCAAUAGUGCUAGUCCUAAAGAACAUUAAUGCAGGCUUGAAGCAAAUUUGUCCCUCUCCAGCAAAUUACAUGCUUAGCAACAGGAUCAGUAGAUACUGCCACCAACCCCCAAAAGUCUACUGUCCCUACCUUUGCACAAUGCUAAACGGAAUAUGUAAGGUAGGGAUUUAUAGGCAGUAAUACUAAGGAAGCUGCCUCCCCCCUCCCACUCCAAAGUGGAAAGUAGCAAUGAAAAUCUAGCUGAAGUGAAAGUAGGAAGAAGUGCCAGAAAAGGAUCAAAUUUUCCUCUUUCCAAACCCUGCAUAUUUCCCCAAUGCGAUGAUACUUUUUGCAGAAUUAAGCACUCACUGUCUUCUGUAUAAUCUGACCCAAUGACAUCUAAAUUACAAUUGGAGAAGACUUCUUCAGUGGGGUAAAAGCCAAGAAUACACAGACAUUGAUAAAAUCAGAAGUCUGCACUGACGCCAUCGAGUCCAACCUUCCCCCUAAGUGCUGCAAUCCAAAUUAACACAUUAAUUACAAAUGAGCUUUUAAUUCAUUUGUAAUUAAUGGUAAUGUAAUUGUUACAUGGUGAACUGAAACAAGUUAAAGUUUCCUUAGAUUUAUAGUCAGGUACAGAGUAUUUGGGAUCCAAGUGCUGAACAGCACAGACUGUAAUAACUUCUCUAAACUUUCUGUAACUGAGUAAUGAAUAAAUUGAACACAUAAUGAGGCACAAAUUACUUCUAUUAUCCUAUUUUAGACACAUUAUGCAAAGACCCAGCUCUUUGGAAAAGGUUCUGAUGCUGGGAAAGGCGGAUGAAAAGAGAAGACUACAACCAGGAGCAAGGACUCCAUCAACUGCCUGACCUUCGGACCUUCCGCCGCGAGUUGAAGACAUACCUAUUUAUUCGCGCAGGACUGGCAUAGAAAUUUUAGUAGCUUUUAAUAUUUGGAUGCAAAUUUUAUGGGGUUUUUAUGGUUUUAAAUGUUUUUAAUUUUGGCCUUAUAUUUAAUAAGUUUUUUAAUUAUUGUUUUUAUUGUGCACAUAAUUAUUGUUUUAUUUUGGCUGUGAACCGCCCUGAGUCCUUCGGGAGAAGGGCGGUAUAAAAAUCUAAUAAAUCUAAAUCUAAAUCUAAAUCUAAUCUAAUCUUUAUUGGCUGAAUUCUCAUAGUGCACUAAUUCAUUGGUUGUUCUUUUUUUUUGUUUCAUUGUUCUUAAAAAAAUCUUAAAUAAGCUUAGCUAAUGAUAGUUUGCUAUGUAUGAAAAUAGUCAAUGACAAUGUUACGCAGGUGGUAAUAUUUCAUGAGCUGACCUCACAUACUGAAUGUAACAAAAUCUGUACUGAUUCCAGCUCUGCUUCAGAGGCAUUAGUUCUGGAAACCAUUAAUCUAAAGAACAGCACAGUCUGGGAAUUGGUUUUGCCUGGUCAACAAGAGAACAUCUAGUAAACAGGAUCGAGUCUACCUACAGAUGUAAUACAAAUAAGCUAUGCGGAUGUUGACUGGCAUAACCUGGAUUACUCUAAUAAAGAAAGCAACUAUUAGUCUAAUUGGCAUAUGUUCAUACAUAAGUAGAGCAUAAUUAACAUCUUUUUCUCUUCUGAUCUUUAUAAGUUCAUAACGUGAUAGGGAUUUGGGGAAAUCUGGUGGUAGCAGAAAUGACUGCUAUAAUCAGAUGCCACAAUUAGUUUUCAUAUAAUCUAGUCAUUAAAACAGGAAUUUUGUGUCUUUUCUGAGAGACAGCUUUCUUUUAAAAAGUUUUUAAAGCUUCUAAGUAAGUGAGAGACAACAGACUGCAGACAGCAAGCAGUAAGAUGCUUACUCUACAAGUACAGUUCUGCCUAAAAUCUGCUGGGCUUCAUAUUUCAGCCUCAAGGACAUAAGGAAAGGGAUCUUUAUUUGUCUUCCUCACUUUCAGCAGAAAAACAUGAUCUCAUUCUUUUGUUUUACUCAAAGAGAUCCUUCUGUCAAAUAAACCAGAAAUUAAGCAAAGUGAAAGAAAUCACUGGGUGGAGGGAAGAGAAUUUAAUUAUAAUUAGGCUACGGUCAUAUAUCAAUCAACCCCCCUUUCAAUCAUAAAUGCUCUUUAUUUUUUUAAAAUGGCAGCUCUCAAAAACAAUUUUAGUGGAAAAAAGACAAAAUUUUUAUUUAUUUUUUUUAUUUUGUCACAACAGUAUAUAUAAGCAUAAGCAUGAAAUAACUAUAAGAUAUAUAGGCAUAUAUAUAAGCAUAAGUAUGUAAUAACUAUAUCAAAUUUGAAUACAAUCAAAGGGAACAUUAGGACAGAAACGGUAGGCACGUUGGUGCUCUUAUGGUGCUCUUAUGCACGCCCCUUAAAUUGACCUUAUAUUCCCCCAAAUGCUUUGUCAAAUCAAUUCAAGUCAGUGUUAUUUGCAGGCCCUCAAAGGCCUUCUAUACAUGCAGUUAAAAAGGCACAGUUAAAGAAAGUUAAUCAGAGGUACAAAUUCAAAAUCAGAUAUAAGGGCCAAAAGUAGAUAACAGGUUAUUUAUUAACUGAAGAUAUUGAUGAGAUGCUCAGUCCUUUUCAAAUGUUCCAAAAGCCCUUUUUACUAGAACUCAAGACUUGUUAUCCUUACUAAUCUGUUAGUCUCACCAAGUAUCCAUACUUGCAGUCUCACUAUUACCAUCCUGCCAUAAAAACCAAGUAGAAUGUUAUUGAGCAAAACUGAUUUCUACCCGUAGGCAUAGCUAAUGAAAAGAACAAAGGACAAUGUUAAAUGAGAAACUCUCCUCAGCACUUUCGAAUUCACUAAUCCCCUAUUUUGUUUUAGAGAGGCUAUUAACAUUUAUAAAGAAAUGUAUUUGUAAAUACAAUGAAAACUGUAAAAAAGGAACUCCUGAAAAUAAAAGCUUGCUUCUUCAUGUUACAGAAAAAACAACAACAAUCCAUCUUUCUCAUGGUGUAGGGUUUCCUGCCUGGGCAGGGGGUUGGACUAGAAGACCUCCAAGGUCCCUUCCACCUCUGAUAUUAUUAUUAUUAUUAUUAUUAUUAUUAUUAUUAUUAUUAUUAUUAUUAUUAUUAUUAUUAUUAUUAUUAUUAUUAUUAUUAUUAUUAUUGGUGUGCAUUUGGACAAAAAAAGUGAAACGUUGCUUUGUUACAACAACUGAAAUGUUGUGACAUGCUUUACACAUAACCUCAUUUGUGUUUUCUUCUGGAUUUGUCAAAUUGCAGCCCUGACAAACCAGCCAGAACGACCUUUCACUUGCUUUGCUUGGAGGAAUCAAUCAAGUAGCCCUUCUCUAUUCCAUCUGCAAAGAUAGAUGGGUGGCAAUGGGGUUGCCAAUGAAGGGGUGCCCUAAUGAGAGGGCAGGGCCAUCUCUCUUGACCCUGAGGAAAAGGAUUCAAGAUUCUUAAGAAAGCAUGAAAGUGUGCCAGGAUAAAUGAGAGAAGAGGUUUGUAUACAUGUUCCAGAAACAGGAGAUACAGGAUCUGGGGCAGCUCCUAAAAACUGGGUUACCUCAUGAUUCUGGCACAGACCCAGGUAGUUUUACCAGUUUGUCCACUCGAUGCUGUUGCUGAAUGCCUUACAUCGAUCACCUCAUUGAGAACAUGGGUUGGCUUAUAACACUGAAUUGUGAGCAGAAGAAAUGGACAGUCCCAGAUUUAACCUGAUUAUUGCCCAUUAGGUAUGCUUUAUAGCAGGAGUCUCCAAGAUUGGCAACUUUAAGACUUGUGGACUUCAACUCCCAGAAUUCCCCAGAAUGGCUGGCUGAGCAAUUCUGGUAGUUGGAAGUCCACAAGUUUUAAAGUUGCCAAAUUUGGAGACCCUUGCUUUGAUAGGAUUAAGGUAGAUUGCAGAGCCCUGAUGAAAGUGGGAGAGGGAAUAUAAUAAUAAUAAUAACAGAGUUGGAGGACCUUGGAGGUCUUCUAGUCUAACCCCCUGCCCAGGCAGGAAACCCUACACUAUUUCAGACAAAUGGUUAUCCAACAUUUUCUUAAAAAUUUCCAGUGUUGGAGCAUUUACAACUUCUGCAGGCAAGUUGUUCCACUGAUUAAUUGUUCUAACUGUCAUAUAGUCAUCUACUGUAACUUUGUUGCUGGCAAUCCUUAUGAUUUAUAUUGAUAUAUUGACCAUCAAUUGUGUUGUAAAUGUUGUACCUUGAUGAACGUAUCUUUUCUUUUAUGUACACUGAGAACAUAUGCACCAAAACAAAUUCCUUGUGUGUCCAAUCACACUUGGCCAAUAAAAAUUCUAUUCUAUUCUAUUCUAUUCUAUUCUAUUCUAUUCUAUUCUAUUCUAUUCUAUUCUA